CACAACUUCAUUUCUGGUGGCCCUUAUAACCCCCAACAACAUCACCAACUCAGUUCACUUUACAGUUUUCUCUUCAUUCCCCGUUGGUUAUCACCUGCAUUACUGCAUUUUUUUGUGUACCCGCUAAAGAUGACACUCAAGAAGAGAGAGUUAUCCUAGGACUGGAUUGAUAUGUAGCAAGGUCAAGGGAUGUGAUAACUGCAUGAAAAAGAAGGCAGUGUGUGAUCAAGAACAAAAAUUCCAGGAGGUUGCUUGAUGUCAAUGGCGCCAUUUAGCCAUGGAGGUCAAGAAUAGUGGCGCCACUAGUCAUUCCUCUGCCAUCCACCACACCAUCAACACCACUCCUCCAGUUCCAUCAGCAUGUGACGUUAUUUUGGCGUGUUCCUGCUGGUUAUGACAUCUCUGUAGACUUGCAUUGCAGCUCACCACACAACAGCUGCCCACAACAUUGAAAAUAUCUUCAACCUACAAGAUUCGAUAAACUUAAGAGCAUUAAUUAAAAUGUAAUAAAUGAA